rnacentral:rRNA from 1 species
GAAUUUUCCCGCCCUCCCAUGGGCGCCCCGCGGGAAUUGGAUUAGAGUUUGAUCCUGGUUCAGAACGAAACGAAACGCUGGGGCAUGCUUAACACAUGCAAGUCGAACGAACUAUUUAUAGUUAUUGGCAGACGGUUGAGAAACGCGUGGGAACGUACCCCAAAUUUCGGAAAAAAAAUUGGGAACGAUAGCUAAUACCGGAUGUGACCGAGAGGUUAAAGCUUUACCGCUUUGGGAGCGGCCCGCGUUAGAUUAGCUAGUUGGUGGGGUAAAGGCCUACCAAGGCAAUGAUCUAUAGCUGGUCUGAGAGGAUGACCACCCACACUGGGAUUGAGACACGGCCCAGAUUCUUACGGGACGCAGCAG